rnacentral:rRNA from 1 species
AAAUUGAAGAGUUUGAUCAUGGCUCAGAUUGAACGCUGGCGGCAGGCCUAACACAUGCAAGUCGAGCGGUAGCACAGAGAGCUUGCUCUCGGGUGACGAGCGGCGGACGGGUGAGUAAUGUCUGGGAAACUGCCUGAUGGAGGGGGAUAACUACUGGAAACGGUAGCUAAUACCGCAUAACGUCGCAAGACCAAAGUGGGGACCUUCGGGCCUCAUGCCAUCAGAUGUGCCCAGAUGGGAUUAGCUAGUAGGUGGGGUAACGGCUCACCUAGGCGACGAUCCUAGCUGGUCUGAGAGGAUGACCAGCCACACUGGAACUGAGACACGGUCCAGACUCCUACGGGAGGCAGCAGUGGGGAAUAUUGCACAAUGGGCGCAAGCCUGAUGCAGCCAUGCCGCGUGUGUGAAGAAGGCCUUCGGGUUGUAAAGCACUUUCAGCGGGGAGGAAGGCGGUGAGGUUAAUAACCUCAUCGAUUGACGUUACCCGCAGAAGAAGCACCGGCUAACUCCGUGCCAGCAGCCGCGGUAAUACGGAGGGUGCAAGCGUUAAUCGGAAUUACUGGGCGUAAAGCGCACGCAGGCGGUCUGUCAAGUCGGAUGUGAAAUCCCCGGGCUCAACCUGGGAACUGCAUUCGAAACUGGCAGGCUAGAGUCUUGUAGAGGGGGGUAGAAUUCCAGGUGUAGCGGUGAAAUGCGUAGAGAUCUGGAGGAAUACCGGUGGCGAAGGCGGCCCCCUGGACAAAGACUGACGCUCAGGUGCGAAAGCGUGGGGAGCAAACAGGAUUAGAUACCCUGGUAGUCCACGCCGUAAACGAUGUCGAUUUGGAGGUUGUGCCCUUGAGGCGUGGCUUCCGGAGCUAACGCGUUAAAUCGACCGCCUGGGGAGUACGGCCGCAAGGUUAAAACUCAAAUGAAUUGACGGGGGCCCGCACAAGCGGUGGAGCAUGUGGUUUAAUUCGAUGCAACGCGAAGAACCUUACCUGGUCUUGACAUCCACAGAACUUUCCAGAGAUGGAUUGGUGCCUUCGGGAACUGUGAGACAGGUGCUGCAUGGCUGUCGUCAGCUCGUGUUGUGAAAUGUUGGGUUAAGUCCCGCAACGAGCGCAACCCUUAUCCUUUGUUGCCAGCGGUCCGGCCGGGAACUCAAAGGAGACUGCCAGUGAUAAACUGGAGGAAGGUGGGGAUGACGUCAAGUCAUCAUGGCCCUUACGACCAGGGCUACACACGUGCUACAAUGGCAUAUACAAAGAGAAGCGACCUCGCGAGAGCAAGCGGACCUCAUAAAGUAUGUCGUAGUCCGGAUUGGAGUCUGCAACUCGACUCCAUGAAGUCGGAAUCGCUAGUAAUCGUAGAUCAGAAUGCUACGGUGAAUACGUUCCCGGGCCUUGUACACACCGCCCGUCACACCAUGGGAGUGGGUUGCAAAAGAAGUAGGUAGCUUAACCUUCGGGAGGGCGCUUACCACUUUGUGAUUCAUGACUGGGGUGAAGUCGUAACAAGGUAACCGUAGGGAACCUGCGGUUGGAUCACCUCCUUACCUUAAAGAA